CUCCCGCUGCUGAGUCAUCCUGCUCUGGCAGUUAUUUAAACAGAAGCCUCCAGGAGACAUAUAAUCAACACUGCACUCAGACAAUGCCCAGACCUCCAGAAAUCAUGUGUCAAGCUCGGAUUGCCUUAGACAGGUGCAUUUUGAAAACAGCUUUCAUCUUCUUUUCUGUCAUGUUGGUACACUAUGGGUUCUGACUUCUGACUCCUUUUCUCACAAGAAGUUCACCCACCUGUCACUCUUAUGGGACCUUGGCACCAGAGACCAGCAAUUCAUCUUUGAAGUUCUCUAACAGCAACAGUGGUAUUUCUGACUUGGCUUUCUUGUAUUUCUCUCACGUUGACAAAAUUGGUUGAGCAUCUACCAUGGGCUACAUGUGAGCUACAGGUGCUGUUGAUGAAACUGCUAAAGGAGCUGAAUGUGACUGACGUCUUUGGAAGGAUGAGACUUAGCGUGCCUGUACAGUUGUGUCUAAAUGCUGUCCUUACCUCCCAAAGGAAAGCUGAACUAGGGCCAUGCCUGGGACAGACAGAGCACGGCCUUCCAGCAGACAUGGCAAGGAGCAAACCAGGGUCAGCGAGUGAAGAGGAGGGCAGGCCCAUUUGAAGCAACACAGUUUAUGUUAAGUGUGAUCUAACUGCUUUCACUGAAAAUGGGUCAGACUCCAGUUGAGAAAACCAGGGGUCUCAAUGACUUCAGCAAAAUCACUCGGCAUUUCUUUCAGCACCUCCGAGGAUAUGGCCCUGUGACGACGUA